GUUGUGUUCUCUAGCCAGAGUCUAGAAUCAAGUGUAAGCUGACUCUCGAGGCUGUGAGAGCAGCCCCUUCCUGCUUUGGUGACCCCUGAUGUCCCCUGCCUGGUGGCUGCCUGCUCCCCCUGUGGCCUGCAGCCUCCUCCUGCCUCUGAAUGUCACUGAACAGCAGGUCCCAGGAAGUGGAAAUGCACAGCAAGUAGGGCCAUUAUGGCUUCUCAUGCCUUCGGAAGACACCUCCAACCUGCACCUGUCUCUACUUGGGAAAGGUCCAACUUAGUCCUUACUUCAAUGCACCAAUGAGUCCGUCUGUCCAUUCCACUACCAUAAAACAACUGUUGGCAUGUUCCUCUUUUCUUUGUGAAAUUAGCACCAGCUACUGACCCCAUGGACAAGUUCAUCUACAGUGACUCCAGUGGAGGGCCCUGCCCAGCUCUGGCUUCUAAUGGUAGUGGGGAUUGAACUUGGGACCUCAGAGCCUCGGAGAGGGUGUGAACUGCACAGCCACCUUAGAAAUCAGUGUGGUAGCAUCUAAAGCAGCUGGGCAUACAUGAGUCACUGCACUGCUCCACCACCAGCAGUGCAGAAGCCACGACAGAAAUGGCGCCCUCGGCUUUGCUGGUCCUGUCCAAAGUGGAAAGAAGCCAAAAACACACCAGGAACAGAAUGGAUCAAAAAAUAGAGCAGUGCUACGUGGCCCUGUGUUUCUGAAUAAAUCCUGAUUUCUGAGGGAAUUAUUCACCCUUUUUCCUCAUGAUUGAGAGCCCAGUGCCCCAUCCACAGUGCCACCUCCCAGACCACCCUUUUCCUAAUUUAUCAGGAGAAUGAUGUGAAAAGAGUCCUGCUAAAUGGUCAUACCUCUGGACCACCAGGAGUCUAGAUUUUCUCCUGUGUCAGCCAGCCAGUUCUCUGCUCAUUCAAUGUCAGUAUAGGGCUUCCCUGCUACUGUUCCAGCCCCUGAGGGGCAACAGCAAUAAAGACCCACAGUUGUCAAUUGGGAAAACUGAAGUGAUCCUGAGAAUGAGAGGAUCACUUGGAGAACUGUCCUGGAAGCAAAUGAUGCCAAAAAUGAUACAUCAGGCAAAGAAGCCACCAUGUUGCAACUGCUACCAUGAUGCCAAACUGACUUCUCUGGGCAGACGACCACACUAAUGUGUCCUAGACCCUACUUCCCCAAAGCCCUACCCCACUAGGGAAAGAUAGAAACAGGCUGGGAGUAUGGAUCGACCUGUCAAUGUCUAUGUGCAUCAGAGAAGCAAUUACAGAAGCCAGACCUCCCACCUUCUGCACCCCAUAAAGAUCUUUGGUCCAUACUCCCAGAAGGAUAAAGAAUA